CCUGUUUCGGUAUUGGGGAAAACUGUUGACUAUCCAGUCUUCUAAGCAAACCAAUGCCUGAACAUUUAGAGACUGAUUAACAUAAGACACAGCAAGAUCCAUCAUUAAGUCAAGAUUGGUUGAAUCCAAUUUGACAGCUUCAAGUAGGGCUUCAACAACCCGCGAUUCGUUUCCCAAUAGAGUAUGAAUGCGACCUAACCAUUUCCAGGCCUCGAAGUGCUGUGGAUUCUC